GAGUACGAUCGCAAGAUUAAACUCAAAGGAAUUGACGGGGCCCCGCACAAGCAGCGGAGCAUGCGGCUUAAUUCGACGCAACGCGAAGAACCUUACCAAGGCUUGACAUAUAGCGAAAAGUGGCAGAGAUGUCAUGUCCGCAAGGGCGCUAUACAGGUGGUGCAUGGUUGUCGUCAGCUCGUGUCGUGAGAUGUUGGGUUAAGUCCCGCAACGAGCGCAACCCUCGUUCUGUGUUACCAGCAUUUAGUUGGGGACUCACAGGAGACUGCCGGGGUCAACUCGGAGGAAGGUGGGGAUGACGUCAAAUCAUCAUGCCCCUUAUGUCUUGGGCUGCACGCAUGCUACAAUGGCCGGUACAAAGUGCUGCGAGAUCGUAAGAUUGAGCGAAUCACAUAAAGCCGGUCUCAGUUCGGAUUGAGGUCUGCAACUCGACCUCAUGAAGUCGGAGUUGCUAGUAAUCGUAGAUCAGCAACGCUACGGUGAAUACGUUCCCGGGGCUUGUACACACCGCCCGUCACGUCACGAAAGUCGGUAACACCCAAAGUUAGUGGCCCAACCGCAAGGGGGGAGCUACCUAAGGUGGGAUCGGUGAUUGGGACG
rnacentral:rRNA from 1 species